rnacentral:rRNA from 1 species
GGACUACUGGGGUAUCUAAUCCUGUUUGCUCCCCUUGCUCUCGCGCCUCAGCGUCAGGUAUAAACUAGAAAACCGCUUUCGCCACAGGUGUUCUUCCACAUAUCUACGCAUUUCACCGCUACACGUGGAAUUCCGUUUUCUCCGUCAAUCCUCUAGAAAAAUAGUUUCAAAUGCAGCUCCGAAGUUGAGCUUCGGAAUUUCACAUCUGACUUGUUCUCCCGCCUACGCGCCCUUUACGCCCAAUUAUUCCGAUUAAUGCUUGCACUCUCCGUAUUACCGCGGCGGCUGGCAC